rnacentral:rRNA from 1 species
AUUGAACGCUGGCGGCAGGCCUAACACAUGCAAGUCGAGCGGAGCGGCGGACGGGUGAGUAAUGCCUAGGAAUCUGCAUGGUAGUGGGGGAUAACGUCCGGAAACGGGCGCUAAUCCCGCAUACUAUCACAUGAGCCUAGGUCGGAUUAGCUAGUUGGUGGGGUAAAGGCCUACCAAGGCGACGAUCCGUAACUGGUCUGAGAGGAUGAUCCGUCACAAUGGAACUGAGACACGGUCCAGACUCCUACGGGAGGCAGCAGUGGUGAAUAUUGGACAAGGCGCGAAAGCCUGAUCCAGCCAUGCCGCGUGGGUGAAGAAGGUCUUCGGAUUGUAAAGCACUUUCAGUUGGGAGGCGUUACCAACAGAAUAAGCACCGGCUAACUUCGUGCCAGCAGCCGCGGUAAUUC